AUUGAACGCUGGCGGCAGGCCUAACACAUGCAAGUCGAGCGAGCGGCGGACGGGUGAGGAAUGUAUGGGGACUGCCCGAUCGAGGGGGAUAACUACUGGAAACGAUGGCUAAUACCGCAUACUAUCGGAUAACCCAUAUGGGAUUAGCUAGUAGGGGGGGUAAAGGGUGACCUAGGCGACGAUCUCUAGCUGGUCUGAUAGGAUGAUCAGCCACACUGGGACUCGAACACGGCCCAGACUCCUACGGAGGCAGCAGUGGGGAAUAUUGCACAAUGGGCGCAAGCCUGAUGCCACCAUGCCGCGUGUAGGAAGAAGGCCUUAGGGUUUUAAAGUACUUUCAGCGGGGAGGCGUUACCCGCAGAAGAAGCACCGGCUAACUCCGUGCCAGCCGCCGCGGUAAUAC
rnacentral:rRNA from 1 species